rnacentral:rRNA from 1 species
AGUGAACGCUGGCGGUAGGCCUAACACAUGCAAGUCGAACGGCAGCACAGUAAGAGCUUGCUCUUACGGGUGGCGAGUGGCGGACGGGUGAGGAAUACAUCGGAAUCUACUUUUUCGUGGGGGAUAACGUAGGGAAACUUACGCUAAUACCGCAUACGACCUACGGGUGAAAGCAGGGGAUCUUCGGACCUUGCGCGAUUGAAUGAGCCGAUGUCGGAUUAGCUAGUUGGCGGGGUAAAGGCCCACCAAGGCGACGAUCCGUAGCUGGUCUGAGAGGAUGAUCAGCCACACUGGAACUGAGACACGGACCAGACUCCUACGGGAGGCAGCAGUGGGGAAUAUCUGACAAUGGGCGCAAGCCUGAUCCAGCCAUACCGCGUGAGUGAAGAAGGCCUUCGGGUUGUAAAGACCUUUUGUUGGGAAAGAAAAGCAGCAGGUUAAUACCCCGCGGUUCUGACGGUACCCAAAGAAUAAGCACCGGCUAACUUCGUG